rnacentral:lncRNA from 1 species
UUCCCCUCUUUUUUUAAGGGGGUGCUAUUCUCGCUCGGGAAGUGGGGGAGGAGAAGGGGAGAUUCGGGCCGGCUCGGAUGCUGUGUGCCUGCGGGUCGGGGCUGUGCCGUGCUCCCCCCGUCCUGCUGUGUGUGUGUCUGUCUGUCUGUGUGUAUGUCUGUCUGCGUGUAUAUGUGUGUGCGGUUCUCGUACCUAGACAAUGCUCCGCAAAGCGAGAGGCUCCUGCGGAGAAAUGCAAACACCUCCUCCCCCGAGUGCCUGAGCAAAGGAAAGGGGACGAGGAGCCAAUCGCCGCUCCUCCGCUUCUUCAUUAAUAUGGAGGAGAACGAAGGCACCAAUGAGGAGCAGAGGGAGGAGGGGGUUAUUUAAAUCGAGUUGCUUAAAUCAAGCACUUCUCCGCCACCACAACCACCACCACCACCCCUGUUUGUUUUGUUGUGUGGUUGGGGGAAGUCAUUGCCGCUGGAUGGGAGGAGGUGCGAGUGCAAGAUCCAUCAGCCCACUGGACACAAAGGCAGAAUUUGCUCAUUCCUCUUCCCAGAGACUUUCAAGGGUGCCCAUGGAUUUCUGGUGGAGCAGUACAGAUAUCUUCCAUUUUCUACUACCAUACACUGCCACACAAUCCACUCUCCAAAAGAAGAAGCUUUAUGGACCUUUAUUUUGUUGUUGUUCUUUGUUUGUUUUCUUUUUUUUUCUUAUUUAUGUAAAUGAUUAAAUAUUUAUGCACUUUUAGUUCUAGAUAUCUAAAUUGUGAAUUCCAUUUGACAUCUUU